rnacentral:rRNA from 1 species
AUAUGGUCAAGCGACUAAGCGCACACGACGGAUGCCUUGGCAGUUAGAGGCGAUGAAGGACGUAGGAGCCUGCGAAAAGCUUAGGGGAGUUGGCAAACAAACUUUGAUCCUAAGAUGUCCGAAUGGGGAAACCCACCCUGCGUAAGUAGGGUAUCUUGCACUGAAUACAUAGGUGUAAGAGGCGAACCCGGGGAACUGAAACAUCUAAGUACCCGGAGGAAAAGAAAUCAACCGAGAUUCCCUUAGUAGCGGCGAGCGAACGGGGAUCAGCCAUCAUAUGAUAGCUUCUGUGUUAGUGGAACGCUCUGGAAAGUGCGGCGAUAGAGGGUGAUAGCCCCGUACACGAAAACACAGUUGUGGUACUAGGUAUGUAAUAAGUAGGUCGGGACACGUGUUAUCUUGACUGAAGAUGGGGGGACCAUCCUCCAAGGCUAAAUACUCCUAACUGACCGAUAGUGAACCAGUACCGUGAGGGAAAGGCGAAAAGAACCCCGUAGAGGGGAGUGAAAUAGAUCCUGAAAUCGUGUGCGUACAAGCAGUAGGAGCUCUUCGGAGUGACUGCGUACCUUUUGUAUAAUGGGUCAGCGACUUAUUGUCAGUAGCAAGGUUAACCGUCUAGGGGAGCCGUAGGGAAACCGAGUCUUAAUAGGGCGUCUAGUUGCUGGCAAUAGACCCGAAACCGGGCGAUCUAGCCAUGGGCAGGUUGAAGAUUAGGUAACACUGAUUGGAGGACCGAACCCACUAACGUUGAAAAGUUAGGGGAUGACCUGUGGCUAGGAGUGAAAGGCUAAUCAAGCCCGGAGAUAGCUGGUUCUCCCCGAAAUCUAUUUAGGUAGAGCGUCAUGUCUCACUCCUGGGGGUAGAGCACUGUUUGGGCUAGGGGGUCAUCCCGACUUACCAACCCCAUGCAAACUCCGAAUACCAGGAAGUGCAAUCAUGGCAGACACACGGCGGGUGCUAACGUCCGUCGUGGAGAGGGAAACAACCCAGACCGCCAGCUAAGGUCCCAAAUAUCAGUUAAGUGGGAAACGAUGUGGGAAGGCUCAGACAGCUAGGAAGUUGGCUUAGAAGCAGCCAUCUUUUAAAGAAAGCGUAAUAGCUCACUAGUCGAGUCGGCCUGCGCGGAAGAUUUAACGGGGCUCAAACUGAUAACCGAAGCUGCGGAUGCGUUUAGGCGCAUGGUAGGGGAGCGUUCUGUAAGCGGUUGAAGGUGAACCGAGAGGUUUGCUGGACGUAUCAGAAGUGCGAAUGCUGACAUGAGUAACGAUAAAGGGGGUGAGAAGCCCCCUCGCCGGAAGAUCAAGGUUUCCUGCUCAACGUUAAUCGGAGCAGGGUUAGUCGGCCCCUAAGGCGAGGCAGAAAUGCGUAGUCGAUGGGAAACAGGUUAAUAUUCCUGUACUUCAGUGUACUGCGAUGGAGGGACGGAGCAGGCUAGGCUAUCACGGCGUUGGUUGUCCGUGUUUAAGCUAGUAGGCAGAGAACUUAGGCAAAUCCGGGUUCUUAAUGCUGAGAAGCGAUGACGAGCUCUUUUUAAGAGCGAAGUAGUUGAUGCCAUACUUCCAGGAAAAGCUCCUAAGCGAUAGGUACAUUGGAACCGUACUCCAAACCGACACAGGUGAUCAGGUAGAGAAUACCAAGGCGCUUGAGAGAACCCAGGUGAAGGAACUAGGCAAAAUGGCACCGUAACUUCGGGAGAAGGUGCGCCGCUGACGGUGAAGGGUUUACCCCGUAAGCUGUCGGCGGUCUCAGAAAUCAGGUGGCUGCGACUGUUUAUUAAAAACAUAGCACUCUGCAAACACGUAAGUGGACGUAUAGGGUGUGACGCCUGCCCGGUGCCGGAAGGUUAAUUGAUGGGGUUAGCACUUGUGCGAAGCUCUUGAUCGAAGCCCCGGUAAACGGCGGCCGUAACUAUAACGGUCCUAAGGUAGCGAAAUUCCUUGUCGGGUAAGUUCCGACCUGCACGAAUGGCGUAACGAUGGCCACGCUGUCUCCACCUGGGACUCAGUGAAAUUGAACUCGCUGUGAAGAUGCAGUGUACCCGCGGCUAGACGGAAAGACCCCGUGAACCUUUACUACAGCUUUGCACUGAACUUUGAACCUAUUUGUGUAGGAUAGGUGGGAGACUUUGAAGCGUGAUCGCUAGAUUGCGUGGAGUCGUCCUUGAAAUACCACCCUGGUAUGUUUGAGGUUCUAACUCAGGUCCGUUAUCCGGAUCGAGGACAGUGUAUGGUGGGUAGUUUGACUGGGGCGGUCUCCUCCCAAAGAGUAACGGAGGAGUACGAAGGUGUGCUAAGCAUGGUCGGAAAUCAUGCGGUUAGUAUAAUGGUAGAAGCACGCUUGACUGCGAGACUGACAAGUCGAGCAGGUACGAAAGUAGGUCAUAGUGAUCCGGUGGUUCUGUAUGGAAGGGCCAUCGCUCAACGGAUAAAAGGUACUCCGGGGAUAACAGGCUGAUACCGCCCAAGAGUUCACAUCGACGGCGGUGUUUGGCACCUCGAUGUCGGCUCAUCACAUCCUGGGGCUGAAGCCGGUCCCAAGGGUAUGGCUGUUCGCCAUUUAAAGUGGUACGCGAGCUGGGUUUAGAACGUCGUGAGACAGUUCGGUCCCUAUCUGCCGUGGGCGUUAGAAAUUUGAGAAGAGUUGCUCCUAGUACGAGAGGACCGGAGUGAACGAACCUCUGGUGUUCCGGUUGUCACGCCAGUGGCACAGCCGGGUAGCUAUGUUCGGACAGGAUAACCGCUGAAAGCAUCUAAGCGGGAAGCCCCCUUCAAGAUUAGAUUUCUCUGGAGCUUUAAGCUCCCUGUAGGGCCGUGGAAGACUACCACGUUGAUAGGUUGGGUGUGGAAGCGCUGUGAGGCGUUAAGCUAACCAAUACUAAUUGCCCGUGAGGCUUGACCAU